AGUUCUGAUAAAAUAACAAUCUCCUAAUAUUACAACUUUUUUCUCAAAAUAUUAAGAUUUUAUUCUAAUAUCAUUUCGACUUUAUUGUCAUUAGACUUUAUUCUUGUAUUACUACAACUGUAUUCCUGUAAUUGAAAUGAAAAAAGAAAACAUCUUAGCCUGACUGUAGAGCUGACCUGAGUCCAAACAGAAGCUGGUAAACAAGAUGGCCGCCCUGGACGUGCUGAAAAAUUAAAUUUUCAAAAAUCAAAAAUUCAAUUGAUUGAUAAAAUAAAUUUAUCGCCCAGCCCUUAAACUGAAACUCUUUGAUUUUCCAGAACCGUUAAAGAUCCAGACUCACUUAUUUUUAUGCUUUUAUUUGCAUUUUUCAUGAUCAGUCGCAGGUUAUGUGUCGCUCAUAACCUGCGACUUUUUCCCCCUCAUACGAUAAAGUCCCAUCAGAAAUUUCAGCUUUUGAAUACAAACUGAAUACAAAUUUAUUCAUGCAGCUCCUGGUCAAAAACAUAAACUUUUCUGUCUAACAUCUUUGACUUUAAGCCAAAGAAAUCUCAUAUUUUUAAAUUAAACCUUAAAAUAGUUUUACCCGAUUGACAGAAAGGCAGCUAAACGGAAACAUACAAUGAAGGAAACGGUAAAAUAAAAGUCAUGUUUGCGUUAAUAUUGCUUUAUAGUGUAUAUUUCAGUUUUAUUCAUUAUACAGAUGGGAAAAAUUCUUGUUUACAUAUAUUUUUACAACUGUAAAUGAAAAACUUUAUGGACAGAAUGAACUGAAAAACAGUUUUUUAAGAAAUAAAAAUGAGCUGCAGAGGUAGAUUACACUUUGUUGUUAUUUUGCCUCCUGAAUUUGUCUUAUUAAUAAAGCAGAAGCAGCUUCUUCAUAGAAACGUUCACUCAGACGUUACAGUCAACUGGUUUCAUUUCUCCGUUCCUGGAAGGAAACUGAGCCGAGUGUCUGCAAUGACUUUUUUUUGUUUUUUUACUGCUGAUGAGCAGGAAUCAGGCUCACAUGGGUUGAUUUUAGUCUUUUAUUUGUUGUAGAUGCAAAGCAUUUUUGUAAAUAAAAUGUUUUCUUAUGAUUGUUGUCUCUGAUUUGCUGCAGGUCCAAAAUCUCAAAUUUACAACAGAAGAACAUUAACAUAUGUUGGAUUUUCUGAAAAAGUAUUUACAUUGGCACUCAAUAUUUAUUUUUGUUAUUUUAGUAACAUAUUAAUGCAGAGAAAUAAACACUUUUAGCACUAUUUUAAGACGCUACAGAUUAUAAAACAAGGCACAACGUUACACCCCUUUAGUAUCAUUCUGAUUAAAACUGUGCAGCUAAUCAGUGCCACGCAAUAAAAAUACUGUAUAAUUAAAUAUAUCUCUCAUGUAAAACAUCAAAUAGCUCAACUUAUUCAAUGCAACACAGAAAAUAUCACUGCAUAAAAUAGUACCACAAAUAAGCAAAAUACAGUAUGAACGCCGUUACAUAACAUAGAAAUAAUGUGUCCAGAUUCAGACAGAAAGACACUGAACCAGAAAAACAAACAUAUUUCAUUUGUGGUAAAUCUCUUCAAUAACAGAAAUGUUCCAGAAUGAGCCGCAGCAACAGGCCACGCCCACAUUUCACUAAAUGAUUGUUUCCUGUUUCACCGCUGAAGCUGCUCCUUUGUUCAACAUGCAAAAAAAUGAAGCAAUGAUGGAAACUCUUAAGGCCACAAUGAGAAAAGUUUUAACUGCAGCUUCCUCUGGUUAGACUGUAAAGAUCAGAAUAAAUGGAUUCAGUCUUUUAGACAAUCGUUCUCACAAAGAGGAAAGUCUGAGAUGAAAUCUGUUGGAAAUCCAGUUGAGAAUGAAUGAAAUCUUUGGUAAAAGAUGCGAUAAUUUAAUGCUUGCUUUCAUAAAGAACCUCACUAAGGUGCGAUGAAAGUUAUUUUCUUGAGAAACUUCCAGGUCAUUUUCCUGAUUCUUAAGGAGAAAACUCGGUUAUGUUGAGAGGUUAACAGUCAAUAUCUGACAUCAUCAUGGACGAUGGAUGUUUACAAGAUUUAUUCUGUCAAUAAUUCCUUAAAAUUGAUUAACUGGUAGAUUAUUUAACUUAAAAUGUGGGAAAAAUAUUUUGUUACAAGUCAAGUAAAGAUGUUUAGUUUCUCCAUUUAUGUAGCUGCAGAUUCCAGUCUAUGGAUUUUUUGUGUUUUGCAUCUUCUUGGAUCCUUGGUUUUUUCCCAGCAGCUGUUUGAAUUGAACUUUUCCAUCAGUUUUAUGCUGCAAACAAAAUAAAAAUCAAGUACACUCAAUUGUGAUCGUUAAACUGAGGUUAAAACGUCUCACCUCGUUUAUAACUGCUGGCACCAGCCAUGACAAGGCGCAGCUGAGCCUGUGUGGGAGUAUAAACAACCUGCAAUAAAAUCUAAUUUCUGCACAAGUUCAUCUUUUUAAAGUAACUGCAGCUCAAUUCUUUACAAUCAUCCCACAAAUAUAUGAAUAGAAGCCCAAAGGGGACGAGUGGAAGCCGUCUGUGUCUCGUUUAGCCUCUUUAAAAGUGAGAUCAGUUUGCAAACUAACAUCCAUCAGAGUGGAACAAAGUGCAUUUCUGCCAUCUUAAAGUAUCUCCAGCCUUACGAAUAUCGACAGAAACCUUUUCAUAAACCUUAAGUCUACUGUUUGGUUUGAAUUAGACCAAAAAUGCUGAAUUUUAAAAGCUGUAUAAAACCUCCAGACUUAUCCUUAUUUGCUGCUGCAACUUCUACAAAUAUUUGCUGCAAAAAAGUGA